ACUCCAACAAGACAUGCCCUGCAGAAUCUGGAAGGCCUGGUGAAAAAAGUCUAGAGCCCACGAUUUCCGCGAUUCGUCAGAACAGCACGCGUCAAAAAAGCCGAGACUCCUCCCCGGUGUAUAACGGCACAGAAGACCAUACACACCGAGAGCACGCGGAGGAUUUCGUCGCGCCGGACAUUCCCAAAUAAACAACGAAACCGGAUGAUUUCACCGUUUUAAAUGACAUUCCCGAGGUAGACGACUUGCUCCUCUGCGAAUUUGCCAACCUUCUUGAUUCCUCCAAUUCUUAUGUAGAAACACCCAAACCUGAAAUAGAACAAGCUAGGUUUAUUACUGCCUUUUCCAGGGCUCUAAAAUCCAGAAAUGUCUUGCUACACAAACGAAUGGGGGCUUUACUUGGGGGCUUUACGGCAAUACAGUCAGGAUCUAUCCUUCUGGCGUAGAACAAUGCCCCGCGUGUAAACUUGGAAUCAAUCACACGCUUGGUCGAGGGGUUUAUAAACGACCGGAAUAGUGACUUGGAGAUUUUGAGCUCCUACAAAAAAAUUGUUAGGGAUAAAAAGGGCUUCCAUCUAAAGAAUGCACCACUUACUAAAAGAUUCAGGGUAGUCUAUGACAAGAGACUGCUUUUACCUGACGGGACCACAUUGCCCUUUGGCUACUGACUUAUGCUACAAGCCCCAGUGUGUCUUAAAGCUUAAGAUAUAAUGGCUGCUGUAGAAGGUUUUGACCCCCGGUUGCAACUACCAUUUUCGGCCUUAAUCGCAGGCCCCUCCAACAGUGGUAAAACUUGUUUUGUAAAAAGUAUUUUAGAGAAUUCUGGACAUGUGCUAUCUCAGAAGCCUGACAAUAUUGUGUGGUGUUAUUCUUGUUAUCAGCCUUUGUAUGAUGAACUGUUGAAGAAAAUAAAAAUCAAGUUUGUUGAAGGAA